rnacentral:rRNA from 1 species
AUUGAACGCUGGCGGCAUGCCUUACACAUGCAAGUCGAACGGCAGCAUGGAGAGCUUGCUCUCUGAUGGCGAGUGGCGAACGGGUGAGUAAUGCAUCGGAACGUACCGUGUAAUGGGGGAUAACGUAGCGAAAGUUACGCUAAUACCGCAUACGACCUGAGGGUGAAAGCAGGGGAUCGCAAGACCUUGCGUUAUACGAGCGGCCGAUGUCAGAUUAGCUAGUUGGUGAGGUAAAGGCUCACCAAGGCGACGAUCUGUAGCGGGUCUGAGAGGAUGAUCCGCCACACUGGGACUGAGACACGGCCCAGACUCCUACGGGAGGCAGCAGUGGGGAAUUUUGGACAAUGGGGGCAACCCUGAUCCAGCCAUGCCGCGUGAGUGAAGAAGGCCUUCGGGUUGUAAAGCUCUUUCGGCCGGGAAGAAAUCGCACAGGCUAAUACUCUGUGUGGAUGACGGUACCGGCAUAAGAAGCACCGGCUAACUACGUGCCAGCAGCCGCGGUAACAC